rnacentral:misc_RNA from 1 species
CGGAAAUACGGUGCCGGAUAACGUCCGGCGAGGGCGACCUCAGGGAAAGUGCCACAGAAAGCAAACCGCUCCGCUUGGCGGAGUAAGGGUGAAAGGGUGGGGUAAGAGCCCACCGCGGACAUGGCGACAUGGACGGCACGGCAAACCCCACCGGGAGCAAGACCGAAUAGGGAUGACGCGGGCGCGCAAGCGUCCAGCCUGUUUCCGGGCCAGUCAUCCGGGUGGGUUGCAAGAGGCUGCGUGCAAGCGCAGUCCCAGAUGAAUGGCUGCCACGUUCCGUUGCCUUCGGGCUGCGGGG